CCUCUGGGGAGCACCCGUCCCUAGAAUAAGUACCCCUGAACCAACCAAUCACGGAUAGUCAUGUGGCAAAUGCAAAAAAGUACACGUAAGAGGGGGCAGAGCAUCAGACACAUCACAGCCAAAUAAGGAGUUGUUUAUCAUAAAGAGCUCUCGCCGUCGGGAUGGCGGAAGGCGGAAACCAGCGCCAUCUUUAAGGCGUGGCACACGCAGCUCUCCACACACGAAUAGAAAUAAGAUGUCCAAAUCCACUAGAAAAUACAAGUUUCCACUUGUUCUGUGACCACUUACCCACCAAGACAAUGACUGUUCCAAAUGACUCAUUCGUGCCUGAGCAUUAGCGAGUGGCAACCUACAAACUGUUCUCCUGAUGCUGCAACUUUUCGAGUUUCCUCAGCAAAGAAAGAAAGAACCUUUUGAUAAUCUUGAAGAUAUACAAGAAAGCAUCAGUGAAGAUCUGGAUUCACUCCUAACAGCCGUACUCCUGUCUGGGUAAUUGUGACUGCCAUGCUGAGUCCAAUGCCCUUGUCUGAUUAAAAACUGCAAAGGCUACUGAACUAAAU
rnacentral:lncRNA from 1 species